rnacentral:tRNA from 1 species
CAAAAAAUAGCUUAAAUUAAAGCAAUUUAUUUACAUUAAAAUGAUACUUUUUGUUUUUUUGA